UGCCCUGCUUCCAGGAAAAGCCUCUAAGCAUCAGGUAACAUCAAAUCGUACCCCAAACCGACACAGGUGGUCAGGUAGAGAAUACCAAGGCGCUUGAGAGAACUCGGGUGAAGGAACUAGGCAAAAUGGUGCCGUAACUUCGGGAGAAGGCACGCUGACACGUAGGUGAAGUGAUUUACUCAUGGAGCUGAAGUCAGUCGAAGAUACCAGCUGGCUGCAACUGUUUAUUAAAAACACAGCACUGUGCAAACACGAAAGUGGACGUAUACGGUGUGACGCCUGCCCGGUGCCGGAAGGUUAAUUGAUGGGGUCAGCGCAAGCGAAGCUCCUGAUCGAAGCCCCGGUAAACGGCGGCCGUAACUAUAACGGUCCUAAGGUAGCGAAAUUCCUUGUCGGGUAAGUUCCGACCUGCACGAAUGGCGUAAUGAUGGCCAGGCUGUCUCCACCCGAGACUCAGUGAAAUUGAACUCGCUGUGAAGAUGCAGUGUACCCGCGGCAAGACGGAAAGACCCCGUGAACCUUUACUAUAGCUUGACACUGAACAUUGAGCCUUGAUGUGUAGGAUAGGUGGGAGGCUUUGAAGUGUGGACGCCAGUCUGCAUGGAGCCGACCUUGAAAUACCACCCUUUAAUGUUUGAUGUUCUAACGUGGACCCGUGAUCCGGGUUGCGGACAGUGUCUGGUGGGUAGUUUGACUGGGGCGGUCUCCUCCUAAAGAGUAACGGAGGAGCACGAAGGUUGGCUAAUCCUGGUCGGACAUCAGGAGGUUAGUGCAAUGGCAUAAGCCAGCUUGACUGCGAGCGUGACGGCGCGAGCAGGUGCGAAAGCAGGUCAUAGUGAUCCGGUGGUUCUGAAUGGAAGGGCCAUCGCUCAACGGAUAAAAGGUACUCCGGGGAUAACAGGCUGAUACCGCCCAAGAGUUCAUAUCGACGGCGGUGUUUGGCACCUCGAUGUCGGCUCAUCACAUCCUGGGGCUGAAGUAGGUCCCAAGGGUAUGGCUGUUCGCCAUUUAAAGUGGUACGCGAGCUGGGUUUAGAACGUCGUGAGACAGUUCGGUCCCUAUCUGCCGUGGGCGCUGGAGAACUGAGGGGGGCUGCUCCUAGUACGAGAGGACCGGAGUGGACGCAUCACUGGUGUUCGGGUUGUCAUGCCAAUGGCACUGCCCGGUAGCUAAAUGCGGAAGAGAUAAGUGCUGAAAGCAUCUAAGCACGAAACUUGCCCCGAGAUGAGUUCUCCCUGAGACUUUAGGUCUCCUGAAGGAACGUUGAAGACGACGACGUUGAUAGGCCGGGUGUGUAAGCGCAGCGAUGCGUUGAGCUAACCGGUACUAAUGAACCGUGAGGCUUAACCUUACA
rnacentral:rRNA from 2 species